GAGUCCCCUUAGGAGGAGGAAGUCAGUCCAUUCCAAGGUCCCACAGGGACAGUGUUGGCACUGGGUGCUGCCAUGGCUUUAAAACCUCAGAAUUUCUGAACCAUAAUGAAAAGAGGAAGGCAUAGCUCCUUAGUGAAACAGCGUAUUGAAAUUUGCUGAAGUGUCUCAAAAGGAGUUGAGCUGGUUAUGGUGUAACCUGCCCUGCACCCCCACCGUACCCCAAGUGAAAGGAAUCCGUAAGGCUCCUAAGGAGAAGGCUGGUGAUCAGGCUGGUCCUACGGAAAGAAUCCAAGAGGUGGUCUCUAAU
rnacentral:lncRNA from 1 species